rnacentral:rRNA from 1 species
AGUGAACGCUGGCGGCAGGCCUAACACAUGCAAGUCGAACGGCAGCGCAGCAGUAGCAAUACUGUGGGCGGCGAGUGGCGGACGGGUGAGGAACACAUCGGAAUCUACCCUUUCGUGGGGGAUAACGUAGGGAAACUUACGCUAAUACCGCAUACGAACUACGGUUGAAAGCGGCGGCCGCAAGGCGUCGCGCGAAUGGAUGCGCCGAUGUCCGAUUAGCUAGUUGGCGGGGUAAGGGCCCACCAAGGCGACGAUCGGUAGCUGGUCGGAGGGGAGGAUCACCAAACCUGGAACUGAGACACGGUCCAGAGUCCUACGGGGGGAGGCGUGGGGAAAAAUAGGCCAAUGGGGGAAACCCGAAUCAGGCGAGGCCGCGUGAGUGAAAAAGGCCUUCGGGUCGGAAGGCUCUUUAGGUUGGGAAGAAGGGUGAUGGAGGAAGUGCUAUCACUUUGACGGUACCGACAGAAUAAGCACCGGCAAACUCUGUGCCAGCAGCCGCAGUAACAC